GACCCCUUGAUACUCUUGGCCCCGUCGCCCCCUCCUAAGGGAAGGUCGCCCGUUCGAAUCGGGCCGGGGUCACCA
rnacentral:tRNA from 1 species